rnacentral:rRNA from 1 species
UGGGCACGGCCACGCCGUAAAACAACCCCCACGCGAAGAACCCUUCGCACCAAGAGUUGACCUCGGAUCAGGUAGGAAUACCCGCUGAACUUAAGCAUAUCAAUAAGCGGAGGAAAAGAAACCAACAGGGAUUGCCCCAGUAACGGCGAGUGAAGCGGCAACAGCUCAAAUUUGAAAUCUGGCCCCCUCCGCGGGGGUCCGAGUUGUAAUUUGCAGAGGAUGCUUCUGGCGCGGCGCCUUCCGAGUUCCCUGGAACGGGACGCCACAGAGGGUGAGAGCCCCGUCCGGUCGGACGCCCAGCCUAUGUGAAGCACCUUCGACGAGUCGGGUAGUUUGGGAAUGCUGCCCUAAAUGGGAGGUAUAUGUCUUCUAAAGCUAAAUACCGGCCAGAGACCGAUAGCGCACAAGUAGAGUGAUCGAAAGAUGAAAAGCACUUUGAAAAGAGGGUUAAACAGUACGUGAAAUUGUUGAAAGGGAAGCGCUCAUGACCAGACUUGGGCCCGGGGGAUCACCCGGCGUUCUUUCGCCGGGGCACUUCGCCGGCUGCCCAGGCCAGCAUCAGUUCGCGGCGGGGGACAAAGGCUUCGGGAACGUGGCUCCCUACGGGGAGUGUUAUAGCCCGCUGCGCAAUGCCCUGCCGCGGACUGAGGUUCGCGCUUCCGCAAGGAUGCUGGCGUAAUGGUCAUCAGCGACCCGUCUUGAAACACGGACCAAGGAGUCGUCUUCGUAUGCGAGUGUUCGGGUGUCAAACCCCUACGCGGAAUGAAAGUGAACGCAGGUGAGAGCUUCGGCGCAUCACCGACCGAUCCUGAUGUUCUCGGAUGGAUUUGAGUAAGAGCAUACGGGGCCGGACCCGAAAGAAGGUGAACUAUGCCUGUAUAGGGUGAAGCCAGAGGAAACUCUGGUGGAGGCUCGCAGCGGUUCUGACGUGCAAAUCGAUCGUCAAAUAUGGGCAUGGGGGCGAAAGACUAAUCGAACCUUCUAGUAGCUGGUUUCCGCCGAAGUUUCCCUCAGGAUAGCAGUGUUGAGCUCAGUUUUAUGAGGUAAAGCGAAUGAUUAGGGACCCGGGGGCGCUCUUCAGCCUUCAUCCAUUCUCAAACUUUAAAUAUGUAAGAAGCCCUUGUUGCUUCGGUGAACGUGGGCAUUCGAAUGUAUCAACACUAGUGGGCCAUUUUUGGUAAGCAGAACUGGCGAUGCGGGAUGAACCGAACGCGAGGUUAAGGUGCCAGAGUAGACGCUCAUCAGACACCACAAAAGGCGUUAGUACAUCUUGACAGCAGGACGGUGGCCAUGGAAGUCGGAAUCCGCUAAGGACUGUGUAACAACUCACCUGCCGAAUGUACUAGCCCUGAAAAUGGAUGGCGCUCAAGCGUCUCACCCAUACCUCGCCCUCGGGGUAGAAACGAAGCCCCGAGGAGUAGGCGGACGUGG